ACCUCACGUUCAUCAACGACUUCGAGUAUUUUCUGCGCACGGAGAAGAAAUGCCGCACCAAUACCGUGUGGGGCUACAUGAUUGUGUUGAAACACAUCGUUUCCAUAGCGAGGAACGACGGGCGUUUGCCCUUUAAUCCCUUUGCGGGAUAUAUCAACUCUCCCGAAAGCGUGGACAGGGGCUACCUCACCCAAACGGAGAUACAGACGCUCAUGGAC
rnacentral:misc_RNA from 1 species